UACAGAGGGGGCAAGCGUUGUUCGGAAUUACUGGGCGUAAAGCGCACGUAGGCGGCUUUGUAAGUUAGAGGUGAAAGCCCAGGGCUUAACCCUGGAAUUGCCUUUAAGACUGCAUCGCUAGAAUUGUGGAGAGGUAAGUGGAAUUCCGAGUGUAGAGGUGAAAUUCGUAGAUAUUCGGAAGAACACCAGUGGCGAAGGCGACUUACUGGACACAUAUUGACGCUGAGGUGCGAAAGCGUGGGGAGCAAACAGG
rnacentral:rRNA from 1 species